UGCGUAGGCGGUCGGGUAAGUCUGAUGUGAAAUCUCCAAGCUCAACUUGGAAAUGGCAUCGGAUACUAUUCGGCUCGAGGAAUGGAGGGGAGACUGGAAUACUUGGUGUAGCAGUGAAAUGCGUAGAUAUCAAGUGGAACACCAGUGGCGAAGGCGAGUCUCUGGACAUUUCCUGACGCUGAGGCACCAAAAGGGCCAGGGGAGGCAAACG
rnacentral:rRNA from 1 species